ACCACUUUUGGUUUGCUGCGAGCACCAUCUCCCUUCAUGGUGUAGGCGGCUACGGUAAUGGAAUAUGCAGUCUCAGGCUGGAGCCCAGCAAUGACCAUCUCCUGGGCAUCAGCCAGCAUGAUGUCCUUGAUUUGGGGCAGCCCCCGGGCCUCUCCAUUCUCCAUGCGCACAUAGUGGACCUGGUAGCCGCGAAUCUGGCCAUGCUGGCGGUUCUGGACUGGAGAGCGCCAGAACACCUGGAUUGCAGUUGAGUUCAGGACCUCCACCUCCACUUUCCGAGGCGGCGCACUGGGCACGUCUUCAUCCGUCCGGACGAUAACUGGCGAGCUCUCCGGGCCCGGCCCC
rnacentral:lncRNA from 1 species